ensembl:lncRNA
CCAUUACCAUUGUCCAUUUAGUAAAUUUAUCAUUUUUACACGUUCAGGGACCUUCAUGAGGCAUUUAAAAGGCAGACAUGGUAAGUGUAUUGAUGUGGCACUUAGAUACAUUUUAAACUUUAAUUAAUCCAUAAUGUGAUCCACUCGCAUGUGUGUCCGUGUGUUUGGGAUAGGUGGGGCGAUUGUUUUUACUGUUUAGGUAAAAAUACGUACCGGAUGUAGGCACAAACAUAUCACAAUUAAAGUUAUAACAACAAUCAUUUUUUUCUGUAUGCUAUACAAUAUACACAAAUUUUUGCACCGAAACCCAUUCAUUUAUUGUCAGUGAGCCACAGAGACCCCACAUAUAUGCGAUAAAUAGCAGUGGUUAUGAUUUGAACUGGUAUGGGUCACCCUAUAAUACUCUUUAGGGUGCAUGACCAUUAUAAUUAUCUAAUGCCAGUGCUGUAUUUUAACAAUUUCUAUCUCCUGUAGGUAUCGAAUCAGCCAAAAAGCAAGGUAAUAUGUUUUUUUUUAUUACUUUAUACCUACAUUCAUUUAUGAUCAACAAUCUUAGAAUAGUACUUUAGUUAGUCUUCCAGGAGAAUAUGUACUGUGGUGUCUUUCAGAUGUGUAUGACAUAUUGUAAAAAUAAACAGUUUGCCAUAAUAUUGCUGUUGAUGUAAAUAACCUCAGUGGUUUUGGUUCUGCAUAUCUAGUGCUUUGGGACAUCAAACAAUCAAUAAAUUAUUGCCGUCCUAUAAACGCACCGUCGGCUGCAUGUCUUGGCAGGUGGCACAAACAGACUAAACAUCAUAUUUUGUCAGCAUGUACUGCUAGGAUAUGCUAUCCCUAUUUGUUAUUACACAUUAGAGCCAAAACUACAUUCUGAUGAAGUUUGUGAAAACAGUUGUAUAGAAAACCUUCAUAUUAAAAGGGUUAUGUUUGUAUUGACAGCUGUGAUAAUAUAUCUUGUUUUUGCAGAGAAGCCAAGCACUUCAAAGCCAACACAGAUGACUCCAUAAAUGAUACAAAUCAACAGUUCUGCUUGUCCACAUAGCACAGCCGUGCAAAGUGCCCCAAAAAAAUUAAAAAGACAUAAAGAGAUGUACAUAAUCUUGAUACAUCUCCCAUGAUGUGUAUUGACAUAAGAAACGGAAUCUACGUCACUGCAAAGUACGACCAGUCAGUUUUUUCCAAUUCAUGUGAUCAAAUCCACCACAACUCGAUUGUGAGGUGGAGAUGUGUACGUUCAUUCCAGGAUUGCCUGGUCAUCAUGAAGCAGUCCUGCAAACUACUUCACUGCAGGACAUGGUUAGCAAAGGCCUAAUGUCAUCUGAGUUGGGUGACAACUGUGAACAUGUUGCCACCAAUGACGAGAGUCGAUAGUGUUUCCUAUCUUCUUCUAUCUCCUCAAGGGUGACGUUUAAUUCAGUGGGAGGACAGUGGAACUGUCAGUGGUGGGGAACUGGUCGAUUGCACCGCUGCAUCCAUCGUAUGAUUGGAAUGUGGUGGAUUUUCCAGCAGUCCCCAGGCACACUGGCAUCCUCGGACAUCCAAAUGAAGGACAUUGCUGACUUGGAAACUCACAUGGUGGAAAGCCGCAACCUCAACACACAAAACAUCUGUGUAAUGACUGAGUACCUGGCAACAAAAAAGCGGAUCCCAUGUCUGAAAGACUUGCCUGUGAAGCUGAGGACUCAGGAGGAACAGCCACCAGAAUGUUUUGUGCCUUCUGAAAGUACCUGGCCCCACACCUCCAGCACUGAAUCCUUUAAAGAUUAUCACCACUCAGGCAAUGGUGUACGGGAUAAGCUAUGUCCAUAAAAGGUAAAUCAACAAUUAUUUCUUACAUGGAUGUUCCCCUGAUGAGAUCACAUUAUAUCUGGGCCUCAACAACCAGACUGCUAAAGAAGCUUUGUGUAUGCAUGAAAUCAACUUUUAAUUUUCUUAAUACGUGUUUCAGUUGCGGAAAAACAUUGCCCGACGUGUGCCAACGUUGUGAGAUUCCAGGAUUAUUCUCCCAGAUUUCACAGCUUUAACAACCGUGUGAUCUUAACACUGCCAUUGUGUGAGCUUCUCCGGUCGGGUUUGUCGGUAAGACGCCUGUUAAUGUUUUUUUUGCACUUUAGUCAAAGACAAGUGUCUUUCAUGAAAAGGUUAAGCACAUUAAAGCAUGUACUAAUGGAUAACAAGACAACCAGUGGACGGAUGCUUGACACUGUCAUUUUUCAAUGACAACCGGUACCACCAUCAAAUAGUGAGGAGAGCAUUCCAUCACUUCCACCACCUACCAGUGUGGACACCACCCAGCGUCAUUGUAGCAGAAGCAAAUUGGAAACUGGCCUUCGAUGUCCCUCUUGGGACAUUUAAAAGGCCUGAUCCAGACACCAUAGCGGACAAGGACCUACAGGUGGACAUUGUCAAGGCGUGGUCGGAUCUGGACCGUUCACAAAUUGCUGAGGGCCUCAUAUCAGCCACAGAAAAAGGAUCUCCAGGAAGCUUGUGACACCCUGGGUGUCUCCUCAGAGGGGUCCAUAGCCGACAUGCUGAACAGGCU